CUAUUACUCCCUCCGUCCGGAAAUACUUGUCAUCAAAAUGAAUAAAAGAGGAUGUAUCUAGACGUAUUUUAGUUAUCGAUACAUCUCUCUUUAUCAAUUUUGAUGACAAGUAUUUUCGGACGGAGGGAGUACCUG
rfam:Triticum aestivum genome assembly, contig: Triticum_aestivum_CS42_TGACv1_scaffold_093213_2AL